AGUGAACGCUGGCGGUAGGCCUAACACAUGCAAGUCGAACGGCAGCACAGUAAGAGCUUGCUCUUACGGGUGGCGAGUGGCGGACGGGUGAGGAAUACAUCGGAAUCUACUUUUUCGUGGGGGAUAACGUAGGGAAACUUACGCUAAUACCGCAUACGACCUACGGGUGAAAGCAGGGGAUCUUCGGACCUUGCGCGAUUGAAUGAGCCGAUGUCGGAUUAGCUAGUUGGCGGGGUAAACGCCCACCAAGGCGACGAUCCGUAGCUGGUCUGAGAGGAUGAUCAGCCACACUGGAACUGAGACACGGUCCAGACUCCUACGGGAGGCAGCAGUGGGGAAUAUUGGACAAAGGGCGCAAGCCUGAUCCAGCCAUACCGCGUGGGUGAAGAGGGCCUUCGGGUUGUAAAGCCCUUUUGUUGGGAAAGAAAAGCAGCAGGUUAAUACCCCGCUGUUCUGACGGUACCCAAAGAAUAAGCACCGGCUAACUUCGUG
rnacentral:rRNA from 1 species